GUACGCGGGAGCAGCCAUUCGUCAAUCUGGACGGUGCCAUAGGUCAACGCUUAAGCACAAGGGUGGACUAGCAUGGUGAAGGGCACGACAAGGGUGGCGUCCCCGGCAAGAUGACCCAGACGAUACACUCCCACCCUCACCCACAGGGACGUCCACCCCCGCCCCUGCUCCAGCCCCGCCCACAGCCCAGUGUAGUAAGGAGGACGCGUAUCGAGUGGGCGUGGCGACAUGCAGUGUUGUGGGCGUUGGUGGCCGCGGUGUGGUGCUGUGGGCGCGGUGCGGGGGGCAGCAACGGGGAGAGCGUGCGUUUCUCCCGCCCACAGUACAACGCCAGCGUGCCCGAGAAUGCCCUGGGCAACACGCCCGUGGUGAGCGACGUGAUGAUGGGCGUGCGCAUCACCGACCCCUCGCUCAGGAUCCGCUACCGCAUCACGGAGGGCGAUAGCCAGAACUUCUUCCGUGCCGCCGCGCGCGUCGUCGGCGACUUCUGCUUCCUGGAGCUGAGCGUGCGCACCGGCAACCAGCGCGUGCUCAACCGGGAGUCCAAUGACCUGUACAAGCUCAAGGUGAAGGCGCAGCACCGGCGCCACGACCGCACCAAGGAGGACCUGCCCGGCGCCGUCACCGAGGUGUGGGUCACCAUCACGGACCUCAACGACCUGUCGCCCUUCUUCCUGAUGGACGAGUACCGCGUGCGCCUCAGCGAGGACACGCCCCUCCACGCGUCCGUGGCUCGCGUCAAGGCCGAGGACCCCGACGCGGGCCUCAACGGCCAGAUCUACUACAGCUUCAAGGAGGACACGCCGGUGUUCGCCAUCCACCCGACGUCGGGCGUCGUCACGCUCACGCGGCCGCUGCGCUUCCUGGAGCAGGCCAAGUACCAGCUGACUGUGCAGGCGCAGGACCGCGGGCUGCGGCAGCGCGGCGGCUGGCCCGCGCUGGCCCGCCUCUUCGUCAACGUGACGGAGGAGAACGUCUACGACCCCGAGAUCCUGGUGACGAAGCUGCCCGAGGCCAUGUCGCGCGCGCACCUUUCCGUGGUGGCCAUCAUCAACGUGGUGGACCAGGACCGCGGCCCCAGCGGCGAGGUGCGCUCGCUGGAGAUCGUGGAGGGCGACCCCGACCGCGUGUUCCGCGUCCUGCCCAGCUCGGGCGGUAACGAGUUCAACCUGGCGGCGCUCGACACCAUCGACUGGAGCGACACGCCGCUCGGCUUUAACCUCACGCUCAAGGCCACCGACGGCGGCACGCGGCCGCGCUUCAGCUACAAGGUGGUGCGUGUGGCGGCGCCGCCCACGCCCGAGGAGGAGGCCGCCUUCACGCAGGAGGUGUAUGAGGCGGAGGUGAGCGAGGUGGCGCCGCUGGGCACGCGCGUGCUGCAGGUGGGCGCGUGGCUGCCCGGGGCGCAGCGGCGCGUCAAGUUCGACAUCGUGGCGGGCAACAAGGGUGGCCAGUUCCACAUCGACCCGACGUCGGGCGUGAUCACCACCACUUCGCUGCUCGACGCCGAAACGCGCGACGCAUACACGCUGACGGUGGCGGCCACGACGCCGUCGCUGCUGACGUCGCAGCGCCAGGCGGCCGCCAAGGUCAUUGUGCGUGUCAAGGACGCCAACGACAACACGCCCAUGAUCGUGGCGCCGCAGGGCGUGGUGCGCGUGGAGGAGCACCAGCCCACCGGCACGUGGGUGACCAAGGUGCGCGCUCAGGACUACGACUCCGGCGAGAACGGCUACGUGUCGUACAGCCUGGCCAACGCGAACGACGUGCCCUUCUCCGUGGACCACUUCACGGGCGAGGUGCGCACCACGCGCGCCCUCGACUACGAGACGGAGCGACGCACGUGGCGCCUGCGCGUGCGCGCGUCCGACUGGGGAUCGCCGUACCGCCGCCAGAGCGAGAAAAUCAUCACGGUCCACGUGGAGGACGUCAACGACAACCGGCCGCAGUUCGAGCGCGUGUCGUGCAGCGGCUUCAUCGACCGCUUCACGCCGCUGGGCUCCGAGAUCUUCACGCUGUCAGCCGUCGACUUCGACCAGGGCAACAUCAUCAGCUACCGCAUCGUGGGCGGCAACGACGACCGCUGCUUCUCGCUCGACUCCACCUCGGGCGUGCUCACCCUCACGUGCGACCUGCAGGACCUGCUCACGCCCGAGCGCAUCGUGAACGUCACGGCCACGGACGGCCAGCACUUCGCCGACACGCUGCCGCUUCGCUUCCAGCUGGUCAAGCAGCAGAACCACGUGGGCGGCUCGUGGGCGGAUCUGGAGUGCCGCGAGAUGGGCGUGGCGCAGCGCCUGGCCGAGCAGCUGGCCCGCGCCGCCAAGAACAACCUGAAGGACGACUCGCUGCUGCUGCUGACGCCCCCGCCGCCCGUAGUCAACGCCCACGCGCCCGAGCUGCGCAACAUGCCGCUGGAGGUGCGCGUGCGCGAGAACAGCGAGCCGGGCACCGUGGUGUUCAAGGUGGACGCGGAGGACGAGGACGUGGGCUACCCGGGCCACCUGGUCUACUCCAUCGUGGAGGGCAACGAGGAGGCCGUCUUCAUGAUGGACAUGGUCACGGGCGAGCUGACCGUCGUGGGGCUGCUGGACCGCGAGCGGCUUGCGCGCUACACGCUCAACCUGACGGCGUCCGACCUGGGCGACCCGCGGCGCAUGGCCUCGCGCCUCGUCACCAUCACCCUCGUCGACGAGAACGACAACGCGCCGCAGUUCGACAAGCCCGCCUACAGCUUCUUCCUGCCGGAGAACGUCGCCAACGGCACCAGCGUGUACGAGCUGCGCGCGCACGACCCGGACGAGGGCAGCAACGGCGUGGUGACCUACAGCCUGGCCACGGACACCAAGGACUUCCGGCUGGACCCCGUGACGGGCCGGCUGAGCGUGGCCUGGCCGCUCGACCACGAGACGCACGACGUCUACGAGCUGCGCGUCGUGGCCACGGACGGCGGCGCCCGCUCCGCCCACGCCUACGUCACGGUGCAGGUGGCCAACAUCAACGACUGCCCGCCCGUCUUCCCCAGCGACAGGAACACCGCCAUCAGGAUACCCGAGGACCUGCCUCUGGGCGCCCUUGUCACCCUAGUGGCCGCCCACGACCCGGACUCGCCCAAGCUGCGCUACUCGCUGGUGGGCGGCCACGAGGGCGUCUUCAGGAUCGACGAGGACACCGCCGCCCUGCGCCUCGCCGCCCCCCUCAACUACGAGACGCGGCCCGCCUACAAUAUCACCGUCAGGGCCACGGACGACGGCACGCCCCCGCUCGCCGCCAUCACCUACGUCAUCGUGCAGGUGGUGGACGUGGACGAGAACGUGCACGCGCCAGUCUUCGGGCAGGACGUGGCGGAGGCGGCUGUGCUGGAGUCCUCUGCGCCCCACACCCUCGUCGCGUCGGUUCCCGCCCUCGACGCCGACCUCAAUCCCGCCGACGCGGCCGUGACGUAUUCGCUGGUCGGGCCCGAGGGGAGGGGCGUCUUCUAUAUCGAUCAGAAGGGUGACAUCUACACGUCGUCAUGGCUGGACCGGGAGACAGCGUCCAGGUAUUGGCUGAGCGUCCGUGCCCAGGACUCCGGCACCGUGCCCAAGCACGCCACGCUGCACGUCUACGUAAUGGUGGAGGACGUGAACGACCACCACCCGCUGAGCUCGUGGCCCGUGUACUGGCCUGGCGUGGCCGAGAAUUCGCCUCCAGACACGGUGGUGGUGACCGUCGAAGCCACGGACCCCGAUCCCUCCGCGAAUAUCACCUACGAAAUCUCAGGAGGGAACCCGCAGUCUAUUUUCACCAUCGACGCGAAAACGGGCGAGAUCCGGACGACGGGGCGGCAGCUGGACCGCGAGCAGCACGCCGAGCACAUGCUGGAGGUGACGAUCCGCGACGGCGAGGACCCGGCGACGUCCCUCUCCUCCGUCGCCUACGUCGCCGUCAACGUCCUGGACGAGAACGACCACGCCCCGGCCUUCCUCGAGAGCCUGUACAAGUUCUCGGUGCCCAUCCUGCCGCGGCCGCCCACGCACAAGGACAAGGAGUACGUCGAGGACAUGCCCAUCGGAAGGGUCGUGGCCGUGGAUGAGGACGAGGACGACAACGGCGACAUCACCUACAGCAUCGAGGGCGACCAGUGGCUCGGGACGUUCAAGAUCGACAACAAGACGGGCAUCAUCUCCGCCAAGGCCGGACUCAACCCUGAGGAGGACUACGAGUUCACGGUCCAGGCCAUAGACAACGGUCGUCCUCGAAACGCCAGCUCCUGCCUGGUGGUGAUCGACGUCGUGCCCGUGCCCGAGGACUCGAAAAACCCGCCGUCGAUCCUGGAGGAGGCGGAGGCGCGGGUCACGGUGCUCGAGAGUGACCCCAUCGGCCAGCACGUGACCCUCAUCAACGCCCGAGACGAGGACGGGGACCGCGUGUGGUUCGAUAUUAUAGCUGGCGACGACGAGUACAAGUUCGCCAUCGGGAGGGACACAGGCAGCAUCAUGUUGGCAGGAAAGUUGGAUGCUGAGAAGAAAUCCCUGUACAACCUCACUAUUGGAGUCACGGACGGCGUCUACACUGUCACCAGCCAGGUGAUCGUCUCCGUCCUGGACGUGAACGACAACCGGCCGGCGUUCUCGGAGCCCACGUACGAGGUGGAGGUGGGCGAGAACACCUCCCCGGGCACCACCAUCGCCACCCUCACCGCCUCCGACCCCGACUCCGACAAGCACCUCACCUUCACGCUCGUCAACACAGCCCACGUCGCCUCCGCCUCAAAGUUCAUGGUCAGCCCGGAGAGCGGGGACAUCGUUCUGUAUGAGCCGCUAGACAGGGAGGUGCAGGAGGUGCACAUCCUGACCGUGUGCGUGAAGGACCGCAUCAUCCCCAUCAAGAGCGACUACGCGCGCGUGAUCAUCCGCGUGCGGGACUACAACGACCACGCGCCGCAGUUCCUCGCCACCCUGUACAACGGCACGGUCACGGAGACGGCGGCGGUGGGCACGGCCGUCACGGAGGUGGUGGCCAUCGACAGGGACAAGGGCGUCAACGGGGAUAUUACGUAUUCCAUUAUCUCAGGCAACAUUGGGGGCGUGUUCAGCCUCCAUCCCUCGACGGGCAUCAUCACCCUGGUACGCAACGUGGAUAGACAGGAGAUGCCCGAGUACUGGCUGGCUGUGCGGGGAAGUGACAACGGAUCGCCGCCCAAGCACUCGCACGUCAAUGUGAACAUCCAUGUGAAGAUUGCUCACGGGGCUCCGCCAAGGUUCCUGAAGAAGGAGUACGUGUUAGAGGUGAGCGAAAAGGCCCACGUCGGGGACUACCUGGGUAUCGUGGAGGUGGAGAGCCGCCUCGGCGUGGUGUUCUCCCUCAACGUGGACUCCAGGCGGAUUCCCUUCGCCAUCAACCCUUCUACCGGAACCGUGUCCCUCGACGCCCCUGUGGACUACGAGAAGAGCCAGUCCUACAACUACACUGUGUUUGCGUCGUCGAUGAACGGGCAGGAGUCAACAGCUCACCUGGUGAUCAAUGUCUUGGACGAGAACGACAACCCUCCAUACUUCACCCAGAGCAGCUACGUGGGCCACAUUUCCGAAGCGGCCGCAGUCAACUCAGUCGUCCUGAUGGAGGAUAACACCCCCCUGGUCAUCUCUGCCAAGGACAAGGACUCGGACCAGAAUGCCAACCUGGUGUUUACCAUCUUGGAAGAGGAGGCGAGGAAGUACUUCGCCAUCGACUCCUUCGACUGGUGCUAUAAGGACUGUCGGACCUUUGGAUCACGAAGUUGUAUCCAAGGUGACCUUCAGUGUUAAGGUCCAUGACAACGGCCACCCGAGACUGUGCGCUUCUACCACUGCCACGGUCACCAUCACUAUCACUGACAUUAACGAUGUACCCCCUCGGUUUCUGCUGCAGGAGUACAAUGCUUCUUUACUCAUACCCACCAAUGUUGGCGUGGCUGUUGUGCAGCUCAAUGCAACGGACCUGGAUUUUGAUGGCAAGGCUAAUCUGGAGUAUGAAAUAGCGGACGGAAAUAAGGAUGGCAAGUUCAAGAUCAGUUCAAAGACGGGGCUCAUUACCGUCAACGAAUCCAGGAACUUGGCUGGUUUUUAUCGACUAAAAGUGACUGUGAAUGACGGCCAGUUCGCCUCCAGCACCACAGCCAACAUCCACGUGGAACCGAUACCCAACACAGGCCUGAGAUUCAGCGAGGACAAGUACUUCGCGGCCGUGGAGGAGAACAGCACCCGAGUGGACAAGGUGGUGAUGGUGCACGUCCUGGGCAGUGAACUGAAUGAACAUCUGAAGUUCAGCAUCCUGAAUCCUACUGACAUGUUCGAGAUAGGAGAGACUUCAGGCGUGAUCCAGACCCGAGGGAGACCAUUCGACAGGGAGGUGCAGGAUAACUAUCUACUCAUAGUUGAGGUCCGAAGCAUCAUCCCCAGCGUCCCAGCGAGAGUGGCCCACGUGCAAGUCCACGUCGUUGUCACGGACCGCAACGACAACGCCCCCAUCUUCGUCAACAAACCCUACUACGGCGUCAUCUCUGUCGACGCCAAGAAGAACCAAGUGGUGUUCAGGGUCCACGCCACCGACUUCGAUGCCGACGAAAACCGCGACGUCCGCUACGAACUGCAACGAGGCAACGGCGAGCUCUUCAGCGUCAGCCGGUCCACGGGCGAGAUCAUCCUCAGGCAGACCCUCGAAGGCCUCAAGAGCGAGUACGAGCUCAUCGUCAGCGCGUACGACGGAG
rnacentral:misc_RNA from 1 species